rnacentral:lncRNA from 1 species
UCGGGGGCUGCUUGGUGGAGAGACGGUGGCGCAAGUGUUUGAAGAUUGAACAAUGGUAGUGGUGCUAGGGCUAAUGUGUGGAAGUUGGAAAGGCAAAUGGCAAGGGUAAACUGGAAGGGAUAAGUACGCAAAUAAAGGGCAUUCGAUUUAAGCAUCCCCAGAAUUCUGGACACCUUGUUGGCGGUUUUCUUUAUUUCGGGAGGAGACAAGAUCUCUUUCCAGAGAUGGUCACGUUGACCAAAGGAUGACCCUUAUACCCACCAAACUAGUCGGCUAAAGGCUCAGGGGCUAUGUGCCACGUGUCCAUCGACAAAAAACAAUUCUACAAGUUUUAAGGGGAAAGUGAUGCAAAUUACAGAUUGACCCUCAGCCUGAUUCUUCGAUUCAACCUAUGGCUCAGGGGCUACUCCAUGUGGAGUGCGACUUUCGUC